UUUUUAGGGGCACACCUGCAGCAUUUGGAAGUUCCCAGGCUAGGGGUCGAAUUGGAGUUGUAGCUCCACCAAUGCCUACAGCACAGCCACAGCAAUGCGGGAUCCAAGCCACGUCUGCGACCUACACCACAGCUCAUGAUAAUGCCAGAUACCUAAUCCACUGAUCAAGGCCAGGGAUUGAAAUUGCAUCCUCAUGGAUACUAGUCGGGUUCAUUACCACUGAGGCACAGUGGGAACUCCGUAUAUAUCUACAACAAUUAAAGUCCAGAUUCCUAAUGCCUAGUCCAGCAGCAGACUUUCCAUCAUAUCAUGGCUUCAGACUUGCCCUACUUAGAUAAAGGCCCUGCAUAUUCAAGAGUCCAGGUAAUGUAAGUUAAUGUUAUGUGGUAUAAUUGACACGUAAUGUAAAUAAGCCAUGAGUAGCUGGCAAACAAUAGGGAAUGAUGGAGACUAUAUCAAAAGGAGACUGUAUAUCCUGAGGAGGGAGCCACUACUUAGUUCCAGGGUGUUCUUGCUAUGUUGAAAUGUGGACCCAGUUGUUUUUGUUUUUGGUUUUUUUUUGUCUUUCUGCCAUUUCUUGGGCCGCUCCCUCAGCAUAUGGAGGUUCCCAGGCUAGGGGUCCAAUCAGAGCUGUAGCCGCUGGCCUACACCAGAGCCACAGCAACGCGAGAUCCAAUCCGUGUCUGUGAUCAUGGCAACGCCGGAUCCUUAACCCACUAAGCAAGGCCAGGGAUGGAAUCUGCAUCCUCAUGGAUGCUAGUUGGGUUUGUUAAUCACUGAGCCACAAUGGGAACUCCUAGGCAUGUAUUUUUAUUUAAAUAAUACUUUUAGUUGCCUUUAGGGUAUUUCAAAGAUCAUGGUUGUUUUUUGUUUGUUUGCUGUUUUCCCCUAAAUGAAGCAGUAUCUCAUUUCAGGCCACUUGGCUUCUUUCUAAGCAAUCUCAACCUCCAAAUCUCUUCCCAAUAUACAUAUGCAAUUUUCAUUCUGUUCACAAAUGAAACCCUAACCUAAAUACUUCAAAAGUAAUCUCAGGGGAAAAAUACUGUUCAAAAACCUAGAUAAUGCAUUCCUUUCGUUGAUGCCAAAUAUAGUCAUCUCAAGAUGACAUACAUUUUGACAAUGAUCAGUCUUACACAUCAAAUUUUCAAAAAUAGCAAAGAUUCCAUUUUAAGGUGAAGAGGAAAAAUCGCUCACUUCACUACAUUUCAGCUUAAAAUGGAUGUUAAAAUGGGACUCUUCUAUGAAAAACUGAGUUACAUCAAUCAAUACUGUAUCAAGGGAAACUGGAUUUGAAAGAAUUUUGUUGUGGUUUUUGCUGAGGGCUCUUUAAGGGGGUCAUUGCAGAUAAAAUACAAAAUUGCCCACAUUUUUCCUGAAGUUAUUCCGGUCAAAAUGGAAAUUAUCUUCAAAAAUGGGGGGCUAAUAGCUAUGAGAAAGCAGCUUAAUUACAUUAAAUAAUCAAAGUUCAUUUAUCCUCAAUAUACACCUCCUCAAAAAAAAAACCUUGUCCCUCAGUUUAUUAUGUAUUUUUCCACCCUACUGCACCUCAAAACUCAAAAGAAUUUAUGAGACUUAGAGGUAUUCUGAGUUUUCUUAUGGCAGCAAUUUAACCUGUAAAAGGAUUAGGGGGAAAAUAAUGUGGUUCACGCAACAUGGGUGACUAAGAUGGUAUAAAUACUUAAGUUUAUUUAAUCAUAGUAUCCAGCACAUAGUUAUGCUGUGACUCCGAGGCCAAUAGGCCCACACAUGAAUUCAUUAACAAAAUUUAGCUGAUGAAUGAUGCUCUCGCUGCUUUGCUCAUGGAACAAAUUUCUUUCUUAUGGCUUAUUUCCUUUCUCUACCUGCCUCUUUCCCAAGGACAGACAUUUUGUUAGGACACAUCCUUGUGCUAUUUUUAUCUUGUUCCUUCUAUCCUUCCCCUCCUGUCCCUCUCUCCUCCCCCCAUACCCCUUUUCCAACUCCCUUUGUUCACUUUAUGGACCUUAAAUAAAUGAUAGGAAGAUCUUGAAGCCACUGCCACAAUCAACUAACCUCUCCACUUGAUUAUUUUCUUUCCAAACGCCAUUAAUAAAGUUUUAGCAUCUGUAGAGCAUUUCAUAGUUUACAAACACAGUUGGAAUGGCUCGGCGUUUUCAAACAGCAUCUAGACAGGGAGGUCUCCAGAGGUGACUACACGAUCCACUCCAAGCUCCAGCUCCAGUUGCACUACACCCAACAUCCGACCUCAGACAGAAUCGCCAAACACUUGUUUGGAAGGAGGGGGCAGAUGAUGGGCUGUUAAAUUACCUUUCACUCCCCAGCCUCCACAGGGACCGAUCAGGGAUGAUUUCUCCUAAAAACUACAGGCACUGCGGGCGAGAGACCGAUACCACGCCGGGGGCACGUGGUGGGACGAAACGGCACUUUCCCUGCUCGGACCCCAGGGACAGAGCGAGGGGACCGGCACCCGCUCCGCUGCAGGAGGGCUCAAUCCCCGCAGGACUGAGAAAGCUCCCGAAACUCCUCGGCCGGGGCGCGAGCCAAGCUGAAGCCGCGGAGCCGAGCAAGGAAAUCGCGGCCAGGAGCCCGAGGCCGGUGACCGCGGAGCGACAGCCAGGCCGACCUCGGUCCGCCCUCUGCCGAGCCCCCGGGACGCGGCUCCUGGGACCGGAUCGCUCGCGCCGGGGACCAGUGCCUCGCCACAGCUGGAUGGAGCCCGGCCAGCAGCCGGGGCGAGUGUCCCCGCAGCCCCCGCCCGCCACCCGGGGGAGCCGACGACUCGGUCUCGGCCGCCCCCGCCCCACGGCCCCCCGACUCGUCUCACCCGCCUCAAGCCGAGAACACGCCAAGGUCCGGGAUGCGCUCGGGGAAGCUGUGCGCGUCAGGCGCCGGGGGGUGGGUAGGGGUCCGGGCGCUCCGGACGC
rnacentral:lncRNA from 1 species